rnacentral:tRNA from 1 species
GGGGUUGUGGCUCAGUGGUGGAGUGCUUAUCUACCAUUCAUGAGGUACUGGGUUCGAUCUUCAGCACCACA